GCCAGGUGCGGUGGUGCACACCUGCAGUCCCAGCGACUCGGGAGGCUGAGGCAGGAGGAUCACAAAUUCGAGGCCAGCCUCAGCAAUUUAGUGAGACUCUGUUUCAG
rnacentral:sRNA from 1 species